CCAUGUGCUGCUGGGUUCCCCAGUGAGGUGUGGUGUGCGCAUGGCUUCAAUUUUCUGGUAACUUUUGGUAAAAUGAACACCUAUUUGGUCUGCACUGUACUGCUGCCUCAAGUCUCCUGUUGUAAAUAUCCAACCGCUACAUGGCCAUUCUGACAAGUGGUGUCAAGAAGCUGGGGCCUACACCGCAGUGAGGAGUUGAGAAUGAUUAGAGGUGAAAAGAAAAUUGAUCAGCAGGAAGAUGCAGAUGUCGGUGCAAGUGCAUCCCCCUGACCAGGGGGCCAUGGCAGCUGGCAACCACUGGGGAAAAGCUAGAUGAGUUGGCCGGUCUGGUCAAAAAUAUUCUCCGUUCUCAAACAACCAGAGACCACCACUUGGACCAAGAGUUCUCGUGUCAAGAACAAAGGUAGUGCUAGUGUUUUUGCCUGUGUUUAUCGUAACUUAACGACACUUAAGACUCUUCCAAGUGCACCGGAGGCGCAUCUCCUAAUCAAGGGAGAGUGGUGAGAUGGGAGCUAUUAAUAUAUGUUCUGUGGUGGAGAGCAGGAGAAAUUCAGAUGUAGAAGGGACCUGAGGUGGUACAGGGUUUGACGACGGUCAACAACUGCUGAGAAACCCUUUGGGUGUGCAGUGGGACUUGCGUGGACGGCGCAGCUGGACCGAUGACCGGACCUGAGGGGCUGCGGUCGGGACCUGCAGAGACGCCCUUUGGGUGUGCAGGAACGACUCACAGUGAGAUGUGCAAAGGACUGCAGAGCUGAACCCAGGACAAAGGGGCAGGCUGUCAGACAGCGAGGAGUACGCCUGGCCACCGGCACUGCACGGACGCACCGACCGGAUGUCACCGCCCCACUUCCUCGCAUGACCGUUUAAUUCUUGUUUAACAUUCUAAUAAAAUCAACUCAAUUUUUGCUGCUGCAAAAUUGAAAUUUACCCAUAUAGAGACAAUUUUAAAAUCAAACCAAACGUGUGUGGGUGUGUGUCAAGCCUGGGGAUUUAAAGGACCUAAAUGUCUACUUUGUGACACCGUGAAUGAAAUGAGAGUACAGACAAGUGGGUAGAGCUGCAGGAGGAGGAGGAAACGGAGGGAGGACAUUAUGAAAAGAUGACUCAGGUGAGGGGACAAGUCAUGCAAAUGAUGUCAGAUUUCAGAAUAAACCACCAAUCCGCAGAGAACCAAAGCUGCUCCUACUGUCCCCCAGAUGAUGACAUUGGAAAAAUGUUAACCACCUUUUUGAAAGAAUGGCCAAAAGCUGAAUAGGCUGUUUGCCUGGUCCCUUUGCUGACGGGUAAUGCAUGUAGUGUAUAUGUGCUCAUGGACAUUGCAGACUCUGAAGAUUAUGAUAAAGUAAAAGAAGCAAUUUUGGCAAAGUAUGAAAUGACUGCAGAUACGUACCGUCGAAGAUUUUGAUAUAUGAAAAUGUUUCAAGGAGAAACCCCACAUGAGCUGUAUGUUGGUCUUUAAGACUUGUUUUCCAAGUGGGUAAAACCACAGUGAAGGGGGCAUCUGAGAUGUUGAGCCUUGAACAGUUUCUGAGGAUGGUGCACCCUGACCUCGAGGAUUGGAUUCAGGAGCAUGACCCUCUUACUGCAGAGAACGCAGCUCAGCUGGCUGAAGUCUUCACAGCAGCCAGAAGAGGGACCAGACACACCACCUUUGGCCGAGACGACCACAACCAUGCCCAAAGCAGUAAGUCCACUGGGGCAGGAAAUAAGGGUGCAUGCUGGCCAGGUUGUCUCCUGUAAAGGCCUAUAUAAAGACAUGUGAAGACUUUCCCCUCCUACCUCAUCUGUCUGUUGACCUGCUUCAUAUCGGCUGCCGAUCACGCUCGGAGAGCCCAGUCAGUUUUAAUCACACUCUGCUUGUCGAGCUUCCAGAGGCCAUUGCUGCAGCUGUGGAAAACCAGAAGAACGCGGAGGCGAGACGAAUACCAAAAUCAUGAUUACACGCACUGACAACGGAUCCUGGAUCCUGUUCAGAUGACGUUACAGAGGGAAAGAUCAAAACCAGUUGGAAGAAUACAACUUUCUUAAUCAAUCAUAACUCUUAAUGUCUGUGGUUCUUGUAUCCCUUUUCCUCCGCCAGAUGGCACUGUGCAGUGACUAGACUAAUUCACUCUCCUUAGACUCCUUGUGUUUUUGGAGGAAGAGCCAAAGUUGCCUAUUUGUACACUUUCUGCCAAAAAUAAUUGUAAGGAAAUUGGUUUCAUGUGAAAGUUCUGUUCUUUGGAUUAUUUGGAGCGAAGUAGCCUGGUGCAUUUAUUUGUGCCAAAACAUUCUGGCCCAAACAGACUACUUUUGAAACUAAACUACACAAAAUUUGCUACAUACGGAAACUGAAAUCGGGGUAAAAUUUGAAAAAUGCAGAAACAAAUAAGGAAAACAAAUGACAUAGCCCAUUAAAAUAUCCUCACUAACAUUUCUCGAAGAGGUUUUGUGCCUCAGUGGAACCACAGAAUCCAGAAGGUCUCUGUACAUUUCACCCUGACGCCCCCUCCUCCUGUGAUGCCAGGAGAAAGAGGUGGCUGUAUCACGCCUCUGGCUGUUUUACCAAGCAUCAACCAUGGUGACAACACAUACUGUAUAUCUGCUGUGUUACCACAGUAACUGCUCAAUGCUGCAUUCCAGUGUAGCAGCACUGACAUCUCUUGGCCUGAUGUAAAACUGUCACAGGACAGAAUAGGAAUCCUGUGCUUCAUCUGAUCACACCUUUUUGGGCAGUUUGGGGUACUAUGAAUUGAAUGGUUUUGUCUUUGUUUCUAGAACAAACGCAUGCUGUAACCAGAUUCAUAUUAU